AAAGGAUUAUUUUAAUUUUAGAAUUUUUGAUUCUUAAUCAAAAGGUUUUAUUCUUUAG
rnacentral:tRNA from 1 species